rnacentral:rRNA from 1 species
UUUUUAAUUGGAAUCUUGUAUGAAUGGUUGGACAAAAGGAAUUCUGUCUUUAUAUUGGAAAUUGAAUUUAACUUUUAAGUGAAAAGGCUUAAAUAUUUUAAAGGGACGAUAAGACCCUAUAAAGCUUUAUAUAGAAAUUAAUAUUUAUUAAAUUUAUGGUUAUAAUAGUUUAAUUUAAUUAUUUAUUAUGUUGGGGAGAUAUUAGUAUAAUUUAUAUUAACUGCUGGAAAAUAUAAGCAAGGAUUGUUGUAUAAGGUAAUAGAUCCUUGUUAAGGAUUGGAAGAUUAAGUUACUUUAGGGAUAACAG